GAAAUGCGAUACGUAAUGCGAAUUGCAGAUUCAGCGAGUCAUCGAGUCUUUGAACGCAUAUUGCGCCCCCAGGCACUCCUGGGGGCUUGUCCGACCGAGCGCCGCCGCGCAGCUCGGGGAGCUCCCGUCCCCGGCGUUGGGGCCCCGGCGAGCUGGUCUCGCAGCCCCCAAAUCCAGAGGCGGCCGCCCGUAGGCGUCCCAUGCGCAGUAGCAGACCCAAGCCUGCCCGGGAAGCUACGGAUGGCCCGCUAGGCCCAAGACCUUUCUCAGGAAGGGCACCUUCAACCCGCUGGCCUCGGGUCGGACAAGGUUACCCGCUGAACUUAA
rnacentral:misc_RNA from 1 species